UAGCAUGAACACAGCAAGUACUUUGAUUGUCAAAAAAUGUGAGUUUUCCGAUCGUGGUUUUAAGGUUUUUCCCGCUGAUUGAACAAACUUUUCGUGUAUCAUGCAGUGACGCUCUGUUCGCCUACAGAAGAAUAACAAUUUGAUGCAGCGAAACAGACGAAUAUCCGACACCCGGGAGGCAAUCCACUUGGACUCUACAACAGUUUGGCUAGUCAACACAUACACUAGAGCACAUAAUCUUACACCUCUUCUGAAAUCGGUCCACCAAAUCCUGAGAAAAACGUACCACCAGGUUUUAGAGAGAGCAUCUACACGUCCAGCUUCUAACAGCAUAUCGCUUUAUUGGCAUCACAAACAUAGAAAAUACAUCUUUGAAUAUACAUUAACCAAUCACCGAAAUAUCCCAACACUCAAUUUUAAAUCCAACAACGGGGAAAAAUCACUUCCUUAUUUUUCGACCUUCUAGAGUAAGGUUUGAAAACAAAUGAACCGGUUGGAAGCACAUUUUGUAAUCUAUAUUAAAGCAUUUUAAUGAAUCCUUUACUAUUUUCCAAUCCCAUCCGUGUUUUAUCCGUAAAUCUUGAAUCAACUUCAUACAUUCUUCCAACAAGAUGGAGUUCCGGUUCACAAGAUGUAGUAAAAACGCAAAAAUGACCCGUUAAAAACGUUCCAGAGUUUUGGGAGAAGGAAAAUUGGCUGCCUAGUAGUCCUGACAUCAAUCAACGGAAAUAUUUUUUGAACUCGAUUGUCGCACACAACAAUCUUAUCGUUUGAGUCCAAAAACCACGGAGGCGAUGAUUUCUUUAAACCGCGAUAAGGUGAGCGAGCUUGCAGCUAUUUCCGGAAGAGACUCACCAUAUGGGCUUAAAAAUGAUCAAAACAUAAGAUUAAAGAAGGGGACAGUAUCUGUCGAAUAUUAUA